GACGAACGCUGGCGGCGUGCUUAACACAUGCAAGUCGAACGGAAAGGCCCUGCUUUUGUGGGGUGCUCGAGUGGCGAACGGGUGAGUAACACGUGAGUAACCUGCCCUUGACUUUGGGAUAACUUCAGGAAACUGGGGCUAAUACCGGAUAGGAGCUCCUGCUGCAUGGUGGGGGUUGGAAAGUUUCGGCGGUUGGGGAUGGACUCGCGGCUUAUCAGCUUGUUGGUGGGGUAGUGGCUUACCAAGGCUUUGACGGGUAGCCGGCCUGAGAGGGUGACCGGCCACAUUGGGACUGAGAUACGGCCCAGACUCCUACGGGAGGCAGCGGUGGGGAAUAUUGCACAAUGGGCGGAGGCCUGAUGCAGCAACGCCGCGGGCGGGAUGACGGCCUUCGGGUUGUAAACCGCUUUCGCCUGUGACGAAGCGUGAGUGACGGUAAUGGGUAAAGAAGCACCGGCUAACUACG
rnacentral:rRNA from 1 species